rnacentral:rRNA from 1 species
AUUGAACGCUGGCGGCAGGCCUAACACAUGCAAGUCGAACGAGUGGCGGACGGGUGAGUCAUGUCUGGGAAACUGCCUGAUGGAGGGGGAUAACUACUGGAAACGGUAGCUAAUACCGCAUACCAUCGGAUGUGCCCGGAUGGGAUUAGCUAGUAGGUGGGGUAAAGGCUCACCUAGGCGACGAUCACUAGCUGGUCUGAGAGGAGGACCAGCCACACUGGACCUGAGCACCGGUCCAGAGCCUAACGGGGGGAGCCAGUGGGGAAUAUUGCACAUGGGGGGCAAGCCGGAUGCACAAAGGCCCGGGGUAGGAAGAAGGCCUUCGGGUUUUAAAGUCCUUUCAGCGGGGAGGCGUUACCCGCAGAAGAAGCACCGGCUAACUCCGUGCCAGCAGCCGCGGUAAUAC